AAGGAGGCAGUAUAGAGAGUACGCCAGCUUUGGGUGUUGGAAGUGGGGCUUACCUCUCCUUA
rnacentral:tRNA from 1 species